UGUGGGGUACAAGGAGUUAACAUCCCUCAUCAGUGAUGCUUGGAAGCUGGUGGAAAAAUUCCUGCUCUCUCAUCCCACCCAGGCUGGCAGAGGUCCCCAGCUGCCCACAGCAGUAACUUGGAGGAGACAAUCACCCUCUGAACGGAGGACCCUUUGGCAUUCAAGCCCGGGGUACAAGGAUCACUCUGCAGUCAGUGGGCGCCGAUGCUGCCAUGGGAUGGGCAAAACCUACCGCAUGGGAUCGCUGCGAGGGUGCAGGGCCUUCACACACGCUCAUCACUGAGGGCGGUGCCGCCACACACACAGCAGACACUGUGAAGGAACCAACCAAAAUGCAGGAAAAAAAACCCUUGCUUUAAAGAAACCCAGUUUGUAGAAGCCUCUACUUCUGCAAAAACCACCUACGGGGUGACUUCAAGAGAUCUAGGAUUUCAUUCGUUACAAAGCAGGUUUCCUCAAUGCCUUGAACACCGUGCAUGAGACACACACACUUCCCGGCGGGGACAGGCCCACGGUGAGAGAGGUACAUCUGCCUCUCCCUCUGAAAAG